CAGACGAGAAAGACGUGUGUAUUUUACACAACCGGAGCUAAAGCUAGUUCGUCAACGUGCUCGUGAGGCGUUUACACGGUUACGGGAAGAGGAACAGAGACGAGAAGCAGAAGCAUUAGCACCUUUGACCACCAGAGGGAGCCACAGACCUGCGCAUGAUAAUGAGCAUCAGCCCAGCACGCCUGCAACCAAAGAAGCACCAGGUCCCGGGUACCAGGAUGUCGAGCCGAGCCGAGCCGAGCCGAGCCGGAAGUGUCCCAAAGCUGAUACUGAAGGUGGCUUGAGUUUCUCAACACACAGGAAAAGACCGAGGCAGUCGCUGUCCACUGAGUGAACGUCGUCAACGCCGGCCUGAGAGGACUCCUCCUCCUCCUCCUCCUCCUCCUCCUCCUCAUUACGAUGCUCGGUAAAUACCAUGCACU